GCUUUACGGAAAGAGGGAAACUAUUAUUUUUCACAACACUUUUUACUCAAUAGUUGUCGCCCGUGAGAUUUGAACUCAAAGCAUUCUCCUAUGUUCUACUUAAUUAGUCAUGACUGAUAUAUGGUAGAUCAAAUUACCCUUAAUCUGCAGGAUAUAUGUUAAGGAUUUAUUGGCACUGGGUGUGGAGAAUGGAACUGCUCAACUUCAUCCUCUUAAAUAUAGUGUUGUUCGUGCAGAUCGUACUUAUCGUGGGGAGAUUCAAGUUGGUCUAACUUUCACUCCAAGGGCAGAACAGCAACAUGAGGGACAAGAGUUUGGAGGAUGGAAGCACAGUGAUGCAUAUCCAUAGGGAAACAAAUUCCACUGCCGCAGCUUGCAAAGUACAGACUAGUUAAAGCUCCUUGAAGAGGAUUGGGCCAGUGUUGCUAGGUUUAGGCUUAUUUGUAGUUAGUUUUCUGUGUGUUGGGCCUUGAUCCUCCUUGUAAUCUCUCCAGUUCUUAAUUUGUAGCUUUGAACUUUUGAAAUUCCAUGGUAAAGAAAGAAAG